UGGGGAAUAUUGCACAAUGGGGGAAACCCUGAUGCAGCGACGCCGCGUGAGUGAAGAAGUAAUUCGUUAUGUAAAGCUCUAUCAGCAGGGAAGAAAAUGACGGUACCUGAGUAAGAAGCCCCGGCUAACUACGUGCCAGCAGCCGCGGUAAUACGUAGGGGGCAAGCGUUAUCCGGAUUUACUGGGUGUAAAGGGAGCGUAGACGGCAUAGCAAGUCUGAAGUGAAAGGCUGGGGCUCAACCCCGGGACUGCUUUGGAAACUGUUAGGCUGGAGUGCAGGAGAGGUAAGUGGAAUUCCUAGUGUAGCGGUGAAAUGCGUAGAUAUUAGGAGGAACACCAGUGGCGAAGGCGGCUUACUGGACUGUAACUGACGUUGAGGCUCGAAAGCGUGGGGAGCAAACAGGAUUAGAUACCC
rnacentral:rRNA from 1 species